AUGGAGGGGCUAAGCCUGGGGUCCGCGCUCCGCAUCGACCCGCGCGUCGCCACGCUGGCCGCGGCCGCGCUCCUGCUGGCCACGCUUACUGGCUUCGCGCUCGCGGCGCCUCUCGUCCUUCUCUUCAGUCCUGUGCUCGUGCCCGCAGCGUUGGCCGUCGCGGGGCUCGCCGCCGCCGGCGCGCUCGCCGUCUCGGGGGCCUCAGCGCUCGUCCGGGUCGUGGGGUACGUCUAG
rnacentral:rRNA from 1 species